AUUGAACGCUGGCGGCAUGCCUUACACAUGCAAGUCGAACGGUAACAGGUUAAGCUGACGAGUGGCGAACGGGUGAGUAAUGUAUCGGAACGUGCCCGGUCGUGGGGGAUAACUACUCGAAAGAGUGGCUAAUACCGCAUACGACCUGAGGGUGAAAGCGGGGGACCGUAAGGCCUCGCGCGAUUGGAGCGGCCGAUAUCAGAUUAGCUAGUUGGCGGGGUAAAAGCCCACCAAGGCGACGAUCUGUAGCUGGUCUGAGAGGACGACCAGCCACACUGGGACUGAGACACGGCCCAGACUCCUACGGGAGGCAGCAGUGGGGAAUUUUGGACAAUGGACGCAAGUCUGAUCCAGCCAUGCCGCGUGCGGGAAGAAGGCCUUCGGGUUGUAAACCGCUUUUGUCAGGGAAGAAACGCUCUGGAUUAAUACUCUGGGGUAAUGACGGUACCUGAAGAAUAAGCACCGGCUAACUACGUGCCAGCCGCCGCAGUAAGAC
rnacentral:rRNA from 1 species